AGGGAACUUCUGGAGGUGGCUUACUGUCACAGCCUUCUAACUCAGGAGGUGAAGGAGCUUGAUCAACAAAACACAAGAGGAAAUGAUUUCACACCACAUGGACUCUGCUGAGGACUUGUAAGCUAAGAGACUUAGAAAUUACUUUGACAUGUACUUUUAAAGAUCAUAGAGAUGAAUGUUGGAGAGAUGACACAUAGAUGACAGAUACAAAGAAAGAGCACCUGUCAAUGAAGCAUCUUCCACCCAACCAGUGUGCUGUGGUCAUAUUCUACCAGCUCACAUAUAUAUGGAGAAUAUUCUUCCUAACCCA